AUUUCGCGUGAGGGAUUGCAGCGGAAAUCCUUUGUGGAACGAAGUGGAGCAAAGAUUGCAGCGGAAUGCCCGACCAAGU
rnacentral:sRNA from 10 species